ensembl:lncRNA
AUCUAAGAGUGAGACCCCACAGCCAGGGUCCUAACAAGCCUUCCAUCCCCAGUUGAUCCCAGUGACCCCUAACUUUGAAGCCACCAGAGGAGAUAAUGGCUCAGGCUACAAAGGUCAAUGCCAGUCAAGCAGUUAAAAUACAUUUUGGGUAAACAGGCUGUGUUUAUAGGAUCCCAAAUCAAGCAGGUGAUGCCAGAAUAAGCCUGACACAGAAUUCAGUGUUGGGUAGUCCCACUCUGCAGAGCCGUCUCUGCAAUCAGGUCUAAGUGUCCCAGAAGCCACCGUGGGGAUUCAGAAUCUGCAUUUGCGCCUCACACCCUGGCCACCACACUGCCGUCAUUGUUACUGGUCAGGCCCCCUAGAGCUCCAAAGUCUGUGAAAGCUCUCAUGGAAUAGGCAUCAGCAAAGCCAGGAAGCCUCCAGAGGGCAUGAGCUGCAUUCAAGCUGCACAGUCACUUGUCUUGAAUUAGUCUGUGGGAGAAACAGAAAUGCAGCAUCCUCAAGAAAGAUCAGGAAAGGCCAAUUAUAUCCCUCUUAAAAAUAUCAUUUAAAAUAAUAAAUUGUUUCCCCACAAGCACACUUCCUCAUUGGCCUCUGAGUGAGCUCCCAUAUUGUUUAAAACAACAACGGAGAGCCUCUUCUCCGAAGAAAGACACCACGUGACCCCACAGGCCCUCCAAGAGAACAAAAUAACUCAGGCGUUCAUCCCGGAGGUGGGGUCCCUCAGCAGCGGGGAGCUUGGCACUGGAGAAGGCAUGUCGCACCAGGUCCCCCGACAAAAUUAUCAGCUGGGAGAGAAAGUGGCUCCCGCGGAGCCCAGAGUCACAACACAGCUGGGAAUCCGAGGCUGUCUCUCCAAGGAGGCAGCUUGUGUUGGG